UACGUAGGGCGCAAGCGUUAUCCGGAAUUAUUGGGCGUAAAGAGCUCGUAGGCGGUUUGUCGCGUCUGCUGUGAAAUCUGGGGGCUCAACCCCCAGCCUGCAGUGGGUACGGGCAGACUAGAGUGCGGUAGGGGAGAUUGGAAUUCCUGGUGGUAAGCGGUGAAUGCGUAGAUAUCAGGAGGAACACCGGUGGCGAAGGCGGCGACCUGGUCCGAUACUGACGCUGAGGCGCGAAAGCGUGGGGAGCAAACAGG
rnacentral:rRNA from 1 species